rnacentral:rRNA from 1 species
UACAGAGGCCCCGAGCGUUGUUCGGAUUCAUUGGGCGUAAAGGGUGCGUAGGUGGCUUGGUAAGUCGGGUGUGAAAUCUCAGGGCUCAACCCUGAAACUGCACUCGAUACUGUCGUGCUCGAGUACUGGAGAGGAGACUGGAAUUUACGGUGUAGCAGUGAAAUGCGUAGAUAUCGUAAGGAAGACCGGUGGCGAAAGCUAGUCUCUGGACAGUUACUGACACUGAGGCACGAAGGCCAGGGGAGCAAACGGG